rnacentral:tRNA from 1 species
CGCGGGGUAGAGCAGCCCGGUAGCUCGUCAGGCUCAUAACCUGAAGGUCGUAGGUUCAAAUCCUGCCCCCGCAA